CGAACGGGUGAGUAACACGUGGGCAAUCUGCCCUUCACUCUGGGACAAGCCCUGGAAACGGGGUCUAAUACCGGAUACUGACCGGCCUGGGCAUCCAGGCGGGUCGAAAGCUCCGGCGGUGAAGGAUGAGCCCGCGGCCUAUCAGCUUGUUGGUGAGGUAAUGGCUCACCAAGGCGACGACGGGUAGCCGGCCUGAGAGGGCGACCGGCCACACUGGGACUGAGACACGGCCCAGACUCCUACGGGAGGCAGCAGUGGGGAAUAUUGCACAAUGGGCGAAAGCCUGAUGCAGCGACGCCGCGUGAGGGAUGACGGCCUUCGGGUUGUAAACCUCUUUCAGCAGGGAAGAAGCGAAAGUGACGGUACCUGCAGAAGAAGCGCCGGCUAACUACGUGCCAGCAGCCGCGGUAAUACGUAGGGCGCAAGCGUUGUCCGGAAUUAUUGGGCGUAAAGAGCUCGUAGGCGGCUUGUCACGUCGGUUGUGAAAGCCCGGGGCUUAACCCCGGGUCUGCAGUCGAUACGGGCAGGCUAGAGUUCGGUAGGGGAGAUCGGAAUUCCUGGUGUAGCGGUGAAAUGCGCAGAUAUCAGGAGGAACACCGGUGGCGAAGGCGGAUCUCUGGGCCGAUACUGACGCUGAGGAGCGAAAGCGUGGGGAGCGAACAGGAUUAGAUACCCUGGUAGUCCA
rnacentral:rRNA from 1 species